rnacentral:rRNA from 1 species
UACGAAGGGGGCUAGCGUUGUUCGGAAUUAUUGGGCGUAAAGGGCGCGUAGGCGGCGUGUCAAGUCAGGCGUGAAAGCCCCGGGCUCAACCUGGGAACCGCGCUUGAGACUGGCAUGCUCGAGUUCGGGAGAGGAUGGUGGAAUUCCCAGUGUAGAGGUGAAAUUCGUAGAUAUUGGGAAGAACACCGAUGGCGAAGGCAGCCAUCUGGACCGACACUGACGCUGAGGCGCGAAAGCGUGGGGAGCAAACAGG